CCCACAUGAGUCCAGAACCGAACUGAUACCCGGAGGACACGAGGGGGGCGAGGAAGGACAAGAGCAUUUUAGUGGACAGCCUCCUUGCACCUGAGGAAGCACAGAAGGAAACAAACGUGCCAGAAGAGCAGUUGGAAUGACAUUCCCCUGAUGAUGAUUCCUCUGGUGUGACAUCUACAGGGUCAGAGGUCAAGUCAGAGGGAGAUUAGUCACAGCAUAUGCAGCAAAUGACUGGAAUGGCUGAUAACAGAGUCAUACGGCAUGCAUUUGAACAGAGUCACACUGAAGGCAUCAAGGGCUAUUUGACCAAGAAGGAGAGUGAUGG